rnacentral:ncRNA from 1 species
GUUUUUCAAAGCAUAUAAUGUCCUGAAUAUGGAAGGACAGUCUCUACAUCUCGGCCGUAAAUCGGGAUACUAUGAUAGAAUUUAUUUUU